rnacentral:rRNA from 1 species
UUUCGAUUCCUGGCUCAGGAUGAACGCUGGCGGCGUGCUUAACACAUGCAAGUCGAACGAAGCACUGAAGAAUGGAGAUUCGUCAAAGUUCUCUUUGACUGAGUGGCGAACGGGUGAGUAAUGCGUGAGCAACCUGCCCUUCAGAGGGGGACAACAGUUGGAAACGACUGCUAAUACCGCAUGACGUGUUCGGGAGGCAUCUCUUGGAUACCAAAGGAGAAAUCCGCUGAAGGAUGGGCUCACGUCUGAUUAGCUAGUUGGCGGGGCAACGGCCCACCAAGGCGACGAUCAGUAGCCGGACUGAGAGGUUGAACGGCCACAUUGGGACUGAGAUACGGCCCAGACUCCUACGGGAGGCAGCAGUGGGGAAUAUUGGGCAAAUGGGGCCGAAAGCCUGACCCAGCAACGCCGCGUGAAGGAAGAAGGCCUUCGGGUUGUAAACUUCUUUUAACAGGGACGAAGAAGUGACGGUACCUGUUGAAUAAGCCACGGCUAACUACGUGCCAGCAGCAGC